GAAUGCCUUGAAUUUUGAAUUUCCGACUCAGGAUUUGUUUCCUUCCAUCACCAAAUGGAAGGGCUAACCAAGGCAUUUCUGAAUAGAACUCGUCAAAGGUGGUUUGAUCGCUGUCACUUGAGAUGAAGAUCACCUCAAAUGCAUUGUCUUUUGCUUUAAUUGCGUGGUAUGCUUCAAUUAGCUUGGGUAAAAAGGCACGACAAGGAGGGCACCAUUGAGCUGAGAAGUAAAGAAGAAUGUUCUUUCCAACUAGAUCGGACACUGGGACCUAAUCAAAGAGUAAACCAUUUGAAUGAUAAAAAAAACCUUUGCUAAUGAAUUCAAUUCGUGAUAAUAAGAAAGUUAUUGAAAGUAAUGCAAUAACAACAUGCGAGGUUAGCAUAGAACAAAAAAAAUUACCUUGGAGCCACUUUUGCCAAUCACAAAAUCAUUUUCCCCAUUAACCAAAACUGACUCAAGCGUCUGCGAUUCCAGUUUUGCCUUUUCAAUUGCAGCUAGCUCGUCAAGCUUUUCCGGUGUAAAUGGGUAGGCUUCGAUACCAUGUUCUUCGAUUAGUUCAGCUACAUUUGGGUUCAAAGUCUUCCCAUCUUGGCCAAUUAUAACAAGAUUAGGAAUGGUUCUAAGUUCAAAAUACCGCACUAGCUUCUCGCAGCUCUUGUCCUUCAAUGGCAAUGCCAACCAAGGCAUUGUCUCAAAACUCUCUUUGAAGUCUUCUUCUUCGUCGUCUAGAGAUACUAGGACUACUUCAAAGUUCUCUCCUUUUUCCUUGAGCGUCUUAUACAAUUCCACUAGUUUAGGAGUGAAUUCACCGCACAUCCUAUGAGCAUGGACUGAAAAAUACAAGCCAACCAAUUUUCCUUCAAGGUCCAACACAGGGAUCUGCCAUUACAGAUAGCAAAAAUGUGAAUUAUGGCAUCAUCAAUUCAAUUUCAAAACUAGCUAAUUGAAUGAAGCAUCUACCUUUUUUCCAUCAUUUGAAAUCACAUAAUCACGUGAGCUUGAAACCAAGAUAGAGCUUAUGGUUUGAUUCUUCUUAGCAUUCUCUUCUUGCUCUUUAAGGAAAUUCAGUCUAUCAAGGUUGAACGGAUACCCAUCCACGCCAUGUUCCUUGACAGUGCUGACUCCAUUAUCGCAGGAAACCUUACCAUUAGUAUCAAAAAUGACAAGUCUAGGGAUCCCUCUUACUUUGAACAAUUCCUUAAGACGUUGGCGGGUCUCGGUUUCAGAGAAGGGAAUAGCAAGCCAUGGCAUUUCGGAGAAGUACGUGUUGAAGGAUUCAUCGUCUCCAUCAGAAGAAAUGAAGACCACCUCAAAGCCCCCUUUGGAUGAUAGGUGUUCAUAGACUUCUACCAACAAUGGAGUGAAAUUACGGCAUGGGCCGCACCACGAACCAGAGAAAUAGAAUCCCACAAUCUUCCCAACCAAAUCGCUGACCUUGACCUAAAAAUUAAGAUCAGAAAAAAACAUCAGCCCUUGACGAAUCAAAAUCUUAUUCAUGGUUUCUUUCUCUUGCCAGUGAGAGAAGCAACAAAAAAAAGAGCCUUUUCUUAAUCAUAAAAGCUUCAGAAAUUGGUCAUAAAUUUGUUCUUCAGCAAGGCUUGCAGUCUAAUUUAAACAUGAUAUUCAUCUUAAUUACUAGAAAAACCUACAAGUUCAUAUAAAAAAAGACGUCAACUUAUAAUAAGGCAAGAAGAAGUAGACUUGAAUAAGAUCAGAUCGAGGAACUCAUAUGCUAAAAGCAGUACCUGAUCACCAUUGUUGCGGAUGAGAAAGUCCCUCUCUUCUGAAGAAAGAAGCGUUGAAAGGUCGAGGGAAACGUCUUCGGUGGCCAUAGUUAGCUAUGUGAUGAACUACUCAAAAGGCUAGAACAAUUGCCAAUCCCAGUUGCUAUGUAAUGGAACUUCCAGGCUAAGGCUCCUUUAAAUUACCUACACGCCCGGCCUAGGAAAUUAUUGUUCUAAUAAUUCAACGACGACUUCAAGACUUGGCUGGCGUCGGGUGAUGACGAAGACAUUAUGACGUAGGUCUGCUGAAGUGGUAUUCGCAUUAUCACGUGCUUCUACAACUCUCCUCUUGCUUUUUUUUUUUAAUCUCCUUUUUUUGUUUUUGUUUGUAUUCUAGUUUUAUCCAUGGUUUAAUAAUUUUUUUUGUGAGUUUGUUAUUAAAUGUAUUUUGUGUUUUAUCUUUUUAAUAAAAUCUUUAUAUUUCUUGAUACAAAAAAAUCCUUAAUUGGUUUUUUUAAUUAAAAAAUUAUUCUCUUUUGUUUUUGAUGCAUUUGAAAAUGAAUUUUUCUAUCAAUUUUUUUUCUAAUAUAAAUCAAUAAUCAUAUGUAAAGCAUAGUUGAAAUGAAUGAACGAACAAACAAACUAUAUACAUGACAUCUUACAUAGGAAGCUUAGGAAAGGAUGAAGGCCAAGAAUAAUGUAAAAUAAAACCUAUGCCUCCACUACCAAUAAUGUAAAAAUAAUUAUUGAGAAAAAUAAAUCAUAAAAAUAUACUUCCAGCUCUAGUCAUCCAAAGCUUCUUAAGUCUCAGAAAAAAAAAACAUUUAACACAAACCUCAAUAAAAUUCAAAUGCUAAUUAAAUUCAGAUUUUUGUAACGUAGUCUAUUUUCUAUCAAAUGUGACUUGAUAAUAAUCACAUGCAAUUUAAUAGACAGGCUAAAAUCCAAACUUGAUAUAGUUCUUGGGUUAUAAUAGAGUUUUUCAAUAAUAAAACUCUUAACUUUUUUUUUAUUUUAAAAAUAAUGAUAUUGCAUAUAUUUAAUAAUUAUAAAUAAAAUUAUAUUGUGUAUUUGAGCCACGUCAGGACUCUAUUUCAAUAAAGAGACCCUAUUUUUCCAGGGGAGAAAGAAAGAGUUUUUAAAUGCAAUACUUUGUCAUAAGUCGUGACUUUUCCACACUCAAAAGGGCACCAUACAUAUAUGUCAUUAUACUUUAUCUCCAAACGUAAUUAAAUUAGUCAAUUAAUUGUAAGUGAGGGAAGUUAAUGAAUUUCCACUCUAAAAUGUUCAAAUUCAUUAUCCGUUUUCAACUUUAUCCUGAUUAAAUCAGGUUAAGUAGAUUACUUUCUUCAUUCGUGGGUAUCCAUCAGAUAUCCUAAUCUAUUUUUUAAUUAAUUUUAUAAAAAUCAAACCUAAACUAAAAAAACAAAAUAAUGCUUUAUUUAUGAAUCAUAAAACUAUGAAAUUAAAUUAAAUAUAAAACCAAGAGAUCUGGUUAGUUUAGUGUUGUUGCAAUGUGAAUAAAAACUCAAAAUAUCACGGAUUGAAAUAGUGUUCUAGUUAUUUUUUGAAAUUUUUUUCAUUAUAGUUACCAAACACUUUUUAAAAUUUCUUUUAUCUUUGACAUUUCAUUAAUAGAGAAUUUGGACUUAUUGGUUGGUUUUGAUUGGUUUUCUAUAAUUUUUUUUUUGAAAAAUUAAAUGUCAUUAUAUUAGAGUGAUGUUCGAUUUUACAAAAUAGAAUCCUAUUUUAUUGCAUACAAAAAUUUAAGACUUAGGGGGGCCAAAAUUGAUAGUUAGCAAUGUUAAAGAAUCAUCUUAACCCAAUAGCUUAAGUUUUCAAGUGACGUUCCAAGAUAUGAUUUAUACUAUUCUCUAACACAUCCCCUCAAGUAAAAGCUCUUUGGUCUUGAAAUUUGCACAGACUCACAUUAUUUUGUGCUUAAUUUUUAUCAAAUAAAUAGGGAUGGUGAGAUUCGAACUCGUGACCGCUUGGUUAUCAAGGCUCUGAUACCAUGUCAAAGAACCUUCUCAACCCAAUAGCUUAAGCUUUCAUGUGAGGUCCCAGAAUAUAAUUUAUAUUAUUCUCUAACAAGUAAGAAUUUAAGGUUUUUUUAUUUGAUAAAUGUUCAUUUCACAUCAUUUUACUUUGAAAAAUUUAUAUUUUGAUCCAAAACUCUAUUUUAAUCACAUUUCAGACUAUGAGUUUUAGAAAAAAGAUAAAAAUUCAUUAAAAAUAGCGAAAGAGAGAGAAACACAUACACUGACAAGGUUUUGUUUGUGAAAAUAGCUUAAAUGUGUGUCAAUGUGUUAUUCUUGACAAAAAGAGUGCUACUAUAAUGUUUUUAAGCUUUAUAUUGUCAAAAAAGAUAAAUCGAGGUUGAGAGAAUUAUUUUUAAGUUAAACUUUGUGUUUUAAAAUUAUUUUAGAGUUUCUUUUUAGUUGAUGGAUUAGUUUAGAGACAAUUUAAAAGUAUUUAUAAGAUGUUUUUAAAUAAAAAUAUAUUAAAAAAUAGAAUUUUAAAUAAAAAACUCCAACCCAAUUCUUUAACCACUUCUCUAUUAUAAAAAAAAUAUAAAGCAAAUGAUGUGACAAAAAAAUAAAUCAAGCAAAUGAUUGUCAUUUGUUUUAUUAAAAAAAAAAAUAAAGGACAAAUACUAUGUCAUCCAUCAAAGAUAAAAUAAAAUGGCUCUUUCAUCUUUUGGAUAAGCAUGCCGAGUCACUUGGCCCCACAAACAUGGCUUGUUUCUAGCUUCUUUUUUUUUUUUUAUGAAUCUUUAUCCUUGAAUUUUAAUUUUAUUUCAUUAAAAUUAAUUAUUUAAAAACACAUAAGGAUAUUAUUUUAGUAAAUACUUGAAUUAUUAAGAAUAUAUACGAAAUAUUAUUUUAUUAGAUAUCAUUUAAUUUUUAUUUUAUUUUAAAAUAAAAUUAUAAUAUUCAUUAUAUAAUAUUAGUAAGAGAUGUUUUUUGGACAACCUAUCAUGAUAUUCCUUAUCUUUGCACAUUCGGUGUCAGAGACUAUAAUAAUAGAUUCCAUGGAAAACAUUAAGGGUAAGAUUCAAUUAUUAAAUGAUAAUCGACUAAAAUAGUGUUUGGAGCCGAUCUGUAUUUUUUAAAAAUUCAAAAUUAUUUUUAUUAAAAAUUAAUUUUUUUUUAUAUUUUGGAUCGUUUUGAUGAGCUGAUUUCAAAAAUAAUUUAAAAAAAUAUCAUUUUGAUGCAUUUCAGAAUAAAAAAUACUUUGAAAAGCAAUCGUCACCAUACUCCCAAACAAGAAUUAAGAACAUGUUUAAAAAUGUAGUAGAUGAUGAGUUUUAAAAUAUUUUUUACUCGAAAAUAUAUUAAAAAAUAUAUAUAUUUUUUAAUUUUUUAAAAUUUAUUUUUAACAUCAAUACAUUAAGACAAUUCAAAAACACUAUAAAAAAAAAUAAAUUUUAAACAAAUAAUACUUUGCCCCAUUUAACUAUAAACAAAAUCAUCGUAUUCUUAAUCUAUUUGUCACAUCAUGAAACAUGAUGAUCAUUAACUGGCAAACACAACACCAACACCAUUACGUAGAAAUCAAGUAUGAAGGGCUCGUAAAUCUAGUCGAUAUAUGUAUAAAUUAGCCCGAACAUUCACAUUAAUAAAAACAAAAAAUCAUGUGUGACACUUAAAAUUUAUCAUAACAAAUUGAUCAAAUUAUAAAGUAAUCCCUAUAUUUUUAAGAAAUUAAUAGCUCACUCCCUUUUUUUAAAAUAAGCCAUAUUUUACCUCCAUGUUAUCAUUUCCAUUUACUGUAACUUAGUUCUUCCUUUAGUUUUACAUUAUAAAAGUGCUAAACCAUUACUUUAGGUAUUAGUGAAAAAAAAAAAAAAGUAUCUAUUAACGGAUUGACGGUCAAAGCUUCUCAAUUGAGUAACUUUUUGGUUUUUAAAAACAGAAGGACUAACAUAUUGGUUUAUUGAGAAUAUGAGGAUUCAAUUAUAAUUUACUUCAGGAAACAAAUAUGAUGCUAUUGACAUCCCCACAAGUGAACUGGCACAAUUAUUGUUUAUAUAAAAUUUCAAAAUUAUUUAUUCUUAAUUUUAACAUUUUAUUUUUAAAAUUUUAUUGUAAUGAAGUGACAGAGUAUGCUAAGAGUAUACCAAAAUAAAACACUGUUGUUUUAAUAUAAAAAUUAAUUUACAGGUUGACUGGAUAGCCUUAUAACCUAGAUGUUUUUCGAAGUUAGUUUUGAAUGAAUGGAGUGUUAUUAGUUAGUUCAGCGUGAUAAUUGGACUGAAAAUCUUUCGUUCUAAAUUAUCAACCAUUCAGAAUUGUUUUGUGCGUGAGGAUGCCAAAUUACCAAAACUAAACCCUAUUUAUAAUCCAUCACCUAUCAAUAGUGAUGUAAGAGUUCCAGCUUGUUUUCUGCAGCUGUGCCAAAACCUGGAGGGUCUAUACUAGCCCAGCAGUCCUUCCCCCGUCGUAAGGUAAGAGCCCAGCACCAGCAGUGUCCUUCCUCCGUCGUAGAGGGGUCCAUACACGAGAUGGCCAGAGAUAGUCAGUGAUUUCGAAAUAUUCCUUUUCAGACUGCAACAAUUGAUAAGGUUUUGUGGCUGUCAUGGCGAAGGCAAAUUAAAGCACAUGAGAUUCAGUGGUGAGAAGCUAUGGAAAGUGGCAAAAAGAAACAGCGAGAACAUGAAACACGCAUUUGAACAUGAAAAAGUAAAUAAGCUGAACAUAAUUAAUGGGCCAUAGAAGCGAAGGUUUUUUCAAUGGCUUCAAACUUUUUGGCAGCGUGCUUGAUUGUUGUCGCCGAAUUUCUUGGCAGUGUGCUUGCUUGAAUUGCGGAUGUAUCACAUGGAUGAUAUUUUCGUUCUUUUGAGGCAUCAAAUAAUAUGGUGUCACGAGAAUUAAGCAAAUAGAAAAGCAUUAAAUUUACGGAAAUCUUUUCCUGUGGUCUUGGUGUAGUUGUUGGCUUUGCUAGCUUCUCCAAGCUCACCACUAAUCCUAUCUGUCCUUUGCGUCCCAUGAACUGAUACAAGCAAUAGCCUGCCCGUGAUUCUGGUUUAAUUGAUUGCAGACAUGUUCAUCAACAAACGCAGGUGUCCGCCCUCCAAAUAACUGCCAUGAACCCAGUUUCCACCUGCUGGGAUUUCAUUUGUCUUUCUUAGUUCUGAGUUCGAAUUAAUGCUGCUUUCUUGAUUCUGAAAUCCGCCUCAACAAGUUAUUUGAGAAGGCAAAGAGGGGGGAAAAUGACUAUCCAGUUGCUUGGAUUGGAAAUUCUAGUUUCUUUUACGGUGGAGUUACAAUGGUUUCAUUGUAUAAUGCUGGUUAAGUCACAAUCAGCCCAGUUUUUGUAUUUAAUCAGCAUUACAAUUACAGGAAUAUUUGCUCAAAUGGGUCACAGGAUUCACAAAAACACAGAGAGCUGUUUAUUUAUUUUUCGUAUCCAAAUACAGGACAUGAAAACCCUUUCAGCCUCACACUUCUUAGAUACAUAACGACAUCAGGAGAGACAUCCCCACUAUAUUCACACACAUGCAACAAACAUCUUCCAUUGCAUACUCACUACAGCAGAAAGCCCAUAAAACCAGACACAAGCAGCGCUUGCCUGCUUAAGCUCUGCGGCACACAUCUCCAUCGCAGACCCAUCCUUCCUUUCCCUUUUCAGUUCCAGUAUCUUCAUCUUCCUUCAAAGCACACUUAGGGUGAAGAUCAAAGUCACAUUGUUUGCAAUAGAAAGACCACCUAUAUCCCGUUUCCCCACAGCCAUCGCAACCGUAUGCACUGCGUUUAGUACGUAUCAGCUCAUGCUCAGUAUGAAGUUCGUGUUUCACUUUCUCUGGCCACCCCUUUGCCUUUUCCUCAAGCUCCUCCUCCAAUUGCUUUAGAUGUUCCUCGGUAAAUGGAAAAGCAUCUGCCCCGUAAGCUGUCAAGUGCAUCCGAGCUUCCUUGGUAAUGGUCCGGCCACUUGGGCCAAUCGCUACAGCUGCAGGAAUGCCUUGAAUUUUGAAUUUCCGACUCAGGAUUUGUUUCCUUCCAUCACCAAAUGGAAGGGCUAACCAAGGCAUUUCUGAAUAGAACUCGUCAAAGGUGGAUUGAUCUCUGUCGCUUGAGAUGAAGAUCACCUCAAAUGCAUUGUCUUUUCUUUUAAUUGUGUGGUAUGCUUCAAUUAGCUUGGGUAAAAAGGCACGACAUGGAGGGCACCAUUGAGCUGAGAAGUAAAGAAGAAUGUUCUUUCCAACUAGUUCAGACACUGGGACCUAAUCAAGAGCAAACCAUUUGUAUAAUAUAAAAAACCUUAGCUAAUGAAUUCAAUUCGUGAUAAUAAGAAAGUUAUUGAAAGUAAUGCAAUAACAACAUGCGAGGUUAGCAUAGAACAAAAAACAUUACCUUGGAGCCACUUUUGUCAAUCACAAAAUCAUUUUCCCCAUUAACCAAAACUGACUCAAGCGUCUGCGAUUCCAGUUUUGCCUUUUCAAUUGCAGCUAGCUCGUCAAGCUUUUCCGGUGUAAAUGGGUAGGCUUCAAUACCAUGUUCUUCGAUUAGUUCAGCUACAUAUGGGUUCAAAGUCUUCCCAUCUUGGCCAAUUAUGACAAGAUUAGGAAUGGUUCUAAGUUCAAAAUACCGCACUAGCUUCUCGCAGCUCUUGUCCUUAAAAGGCAAUGCCAACCAAGGCAUUGUCUCAAAACUCUCUUUGAAGUCUUCUUCUUCGUCGUCUAGAGAUAUUAGGACUACUUCGAAGUUCUCUCCUUUUUCCUUGAGCGUCUUAUACAGUUCCACUAGUUUAGGAGUGAAUUCACGGCACAUCCUAUGAGCAUGGGCUGAAAAAUACAAGCCAACCAAUUUUCCUUCAAGGUCCAACACAGGGAUCUGCCAUUACAGAUAGCAAAAAUGUGAAUUAUGGCAUCAUCAAUUCAAUUUCAAAACUAGCUAAUUGAAUGAAACAUCUACCUUUUUUCCAUCAUUUGAAAUCACAUAAUCACGUGAGCUGGAAACCAAGAUAGAGCUUAUGGUUUGAUUCUUCUUAGCAUUCUCUUCUUGCUCUUUCAGGAAAUUCAGUCUAUCAAGGUUGAACGGAUACCCAUCCACGCCAUGUUCCUUGACAUGUCUAACUCCAUUAUCGGAGGAAACCUUACCAUUAGUAUCAAAAAUGACAAGCCUAGGGAUCCCUCUUACUUUGAACACUUCCUUAAGACGUUGGCGGGUCUCCGUAUCAGAGAAGGGAAUAGCAAGCCAAGGCAUUUCGGAGAAGUAUGUAUUGAAGGAUUCAUCGUCUCCGUCAGAAGAAAUGAAGACCACCUCAAAUCCCCCUUUGGAUGAUAGUUGUUCAUAGACUUCUACCAACAGUGGAGUGAAAUUACGGCAUGGGCCGCACCACGAACCAGAGAAAUAGAAUCCCACAAUCUUCCCAACCAAAUUACUGACCUUAACCUAAAAAUUAGUGUCGAGCAUAAUCAGAAAAAAAACAUUAGCCCAUAAAUUAAGAGGGUAAACAAAAACUGAGGCUUUUCUUAAUCAUAAAAGCUCUAGAAAUUGGUCAUAAACUUGUUCUUCAGCAAGGGUCGCACUCUAAUUUAAACAUGAUAUCCAUCUUAAUUACGAGAAAAAGUUUAAUAAGACAAGUAGAAGUAGAUCGCAUAAGACCAGAGAAAUCCAUAAGCUAAAAGCAGUACCUGGUCACCAUUGUUGCGGAUGAGAAAGUCCCUCUCUUCCGACGAAAGAAGGGAUGAAAGGUCGUGCGAAACGUCUUCGUUGGCCAUUGUUAAGUGAUGAACUACUCAAAAUGCUAUAACAAUUGCCGAUUCCAAACGCUAUUUAUUGGGACAAACUGGGAUGGUUCCUUCUAAGUUACUUGCACAGCACGCCGAGUGAACUAUCAGACGUCAACGAUGACAUGUAAAUUUGGAUGGUGAUGACAAAAACAUCAUUCUCCUUAUCUAAAUACCAGCAGGUUCGAGAAACUGGUAUUAAACAUGCUUUCCCACGUGCAACACACCUCCUCUGGCUUUUUUUAUUUAAAAAGAAAAAGAAAAAGAAAAAGAAAAAGAAAAAGAAAAAACAUAUAUUUUUUUUAAUUUCUCUCUCUUUUAUUUUUUUAGUCACUCUUCACUUUUUACCUUUUUUUUUUUUUUCAAGAAUCUGAAUUCUAGGUUUCUUCUUUAAUUAUAAAAAACCUCUUAUGAUUUGAUUAUGUGAAAUUAUACUUUAUAUUUUUUAUCAAAUAAAUUUUUUUAAAUUGAUAAAAUAUCCAAAUUGUCUUUAUCUAUAAUAUAUGAGAAAAUCAAUUGAAUAAUAGAUCAUAUACUCACACUCUCUUUCUUGUCCUACUUUCUCUCUCUACAAAUCAUAUUCUCUCCCUUCUUUGACAACUAUUAUCAUAAUUUGUUUAAUCGGUCUGUUUUUUGUUCUCGUUUUGUGGGGAGUUCCUUCCUUUUCAUGUUUAGAACUCGACGAAGUUGGAAUCUUUUUCAUUGUUGUUAGUCCAAAGAUCACUAUUACAUAUGGUUUUAGUAAUUUUAAUGAUCACAACAAUUUAGUGAAUUUAAUAUGUAUAUGAAGAUUUGAUAUUAUAAGGAUUUUUCUACUAUGUCAAAUUAGAGCAAAAUAGAUUCUUUGGAUGUAAACUUAACUUUGGAUGCCUAAACUUAGAGUUAUGUAAUCAAGUCUUUACAUAAUUUAAUUUUUCACACAAAAAUGAUUUUUAUCCAAAAAGAUUCUUUAUUAUUGAAUUUUUACAUAUUGAAAAAUAGUUUACGAGAAAAUCUUUCAUAAAAUAUUUCAGAUUGUUACUAAAUUUUUUUUAGAAUGAAAAGUAUAAACUUAAUUAAAUGAUUUCUUGUGUUUUGAUCACACUAAACAUUUCUUGUUCAUUUUCAACUAAGUGGGUAGCUAAGUGAGUUGUGACUUUUCCAUACUCAAAAGUGCAUAAUACAACUAUGUCAUUCUACUUUGCUAAACACACCAAGCAUGUUUAAAUUUCUCAUUUAGCAAUAAUCAAUGGAAGGUAAUAAAAUAAGUUGGAUUUGAGUUUUACUUAAUUGUUCCAUCUAAAACAUCCAAAUUCAUUAUCCAACUCUGACCUAAUUAAAUUAGGUUAAAUCGGGGAUGAAAAAGUUUUUUUUUCAAGUUAAAUUUUAUGUUUUAAAACCAGUUUAGGAGUUUUUUGAGUUGACAGUAGGGGUUUUUUUUUGUUCGGUUUGGUUUUGGGAAAAAAAAAGAUAACUUCAUUGAAAUUUACUUUUUUAAGGUUUUCAACCCGAAAUCAGUUCAAAGCUAUCGGGUGCGGCUUGGUUCAGUCUUUUUUGUUUCAAAACUUGUUCAGAUCGACAUUAUUUCAAUUGAGAGUUUUUAUAAGCCUCGCUUUUUAGGUUUUUAUUACAAUGGAUCCAAGUUAUUUUUACUAUUUUUGGGUUUUUCAAGAUUUGUUUUGAAUUUUUUCAUAAAAGGUUUGAGUUGUUUUAUUACAAAGGCUUUUCAUGCCUAUAAAUAAUUAUAUGAAUUUUUACUUCAAUAUAAACAUACAUAGUUGAUGCGAAUUCGGAGAGUAAAACCCCUUGAACCCUCACACAAGAAAAAAAAUCCAAGAAAGCUAAAAUCAAGUUGAAAAGAACCCAACCUAGUGGUUAUCUAAACUAAAGAAUCAUAGUUAUUGGAUGAAAAAACUUAACCCAAUAAUUAUAAUGAACCACUAACUAAAGGUAUAAGGAUGAAACCCCAACCCGUUAAAUAUUGUAAUAAAUAACGAACUAAGAACUAUAGGUGUAAGGAUGGAUAUCAUAAAGAGAGUUGAUCUUUGAUAAGUUUUUUAAAAAGUUCCAUGAGGAACCAAGAGUAUAAGUAAACUCUUUCACACACAAUAAUAUUCUGAAUAAUCAAUCCGUCUCAAAUUAUUAAAAAAAACUAAAUAUAAGUUAAAUAACCAUAUUUAUACUAGGUAAAAUAAAAAAUGCUAAAAAAAUAACAAAAGAGUUCUAAAUGAAAUAGAAGAAAGAAUUCUAAAUUAAUUGAGAAACUAAUGCAAUUCUUGUAUAGUAGCUUUUGAUCUUUAUCGUAAGGCCUUAUCAAUAUUUAAUUGCUAUUAUAUUUCAACUCCAUAUAAAACAAGGAUUUUAGAAUCAUUAAGAAAAUUUGAAGCCCAAUCCACAUGUAAGCAGGAAAAUAAGUUGAAUCCGUAAGUCCUAUAGAAAAUAAAACUCAAAUAUCUUGAAAUAAUCACUAAAUAUUUCUUUAACCUUCUUAGCUCAUAACCUGGCACAUGUAAUUAAUCAUAUGGUAUUGCUUGAUGGUUUUAACAACAAUGCUUCAAUUCAUCCAAAUUAAUAACAAAAAAAGUAAAUGAAAUCUAAAAAGCUACUCUCCAUGAAAAGAUGACAAAAAAAGCUUUCAUCAAAAUCUUAACCAUCUCAUAAUUAUCACUCAUAAAUUAUCACAACAAGUAGCUCCCUAGUUUUCAAUAUUCGUAAUUAAUGAGUCAAUAUUCGUAAUUAUCACUCAUAAAUUAUCACUCAUGGUUUAUAAGGUGUUUUAUAGGUGUUUUGGGUCAAAACAGGUUUUUAGGUCAAAUGAGCAUAAACUCUGAUUUUCCGACAACCACAAUGGCUAGAACCUGGGCAAAACAGGUGUACAUGACUGUCACACCCAAGAGCAUUAAUUGGGUUUGGCAGUCAUGCCAAAUCCAAGGCACUUGGGGCAAGCAGUCAUAAAAGACUUAAGCGUCUUGGGUCAGGCAAGGAUUGAGUCUGACAGCGUUACCCUUGGGUCUGACAUGGUUGCCUGCCUAAGCACCUUGGGUCAGGCAUGGAUUGAGUGUGGCAGGCAAGCCAGACCCAAUCCAUGGGUUUGGUAUGGUUGCCAUCAUAGUUAUCAGACUCGGCUUGACCCUGCAGGUCAACUCAGGACCCGGGUGACCUAGGGCCUUAGCUAGGUAUAUUUCAUUUAAAAUUCAGGCCUGCAAUUGACCUAGAUAAAACCGGUCAUCUUGUCGGAUUAACCCAGAACUCGGGUGACCCAGUAAAACCCGGUAAAGACCUGUUUUUUUUUUUUCAAAUAUAUUUUUUCUCUUAGCCAGAGACCCAUUUUUUUUUAUAUUUUUUAGUUGUUUAUAACUCAUUUCAAAGUUCACUAUAUAAAUACUAGAAGAAUGUUUUUAUUUUUUCAAAGUAAGUUUUGAAGCCCUUUAGUAUAUAUAUUCUAUGUUCACAAUAAAAGGUUAUGUUUUUUCAAUGUGGGAUAAAAAACCUUUUUGAUUUAAAUAUUUCAACUUAAAAUAAUAUGAUAGUAUCUUGCAAAUGUGGGAUAAAAAACCUUUUAAAAUAACAUUUUAAACUUAAUUAUUUACAACAUGUAUAACCCAUAUCCACAUAGAUUAUUUCUUAAUUUUUUUCAUAUGAAAUAUUAAAACCUCAAAUAUUAUUUUAAAAUUUUUCUAAAUUGACCCGAGUCAGCCCGUGUAACCUGGGUCUCGGCUCCUGGGCCGGGUCAACCCUUGGGCCGAGUUUGAUAAUUAUGGAUGCAAUAAAAAUAUAACUUCAAAGAAUACAAUUAAAAAAAAAUAAAGUGACGUGACCGGUUAAAAAAAUAAAAACUGAAAAAAUGCAUAGAACCUCUUUUUUUUUUUUUGUUCAAGGAGCCUCUUUUAAAUAAUAUUGAUUUUUUUGUUACGUGUUUAAUUUUCGGAAUAGUUUUUUUGGUUCAUCUAUAGUUUUGUUUUUAUUUUUUAUAUAGAUAAACUGUGUUUUUGAAAAUAAAAAAUGUUUAUUUUUAGAUGAUAUUUUUAAUAUGAGUAGUUUUACAUGUUAUUUUUUUUAAAAAAAUUAUUCAAUUAAUUUAAUGUCUUAUUUUUCAAGAUUCAAUAUAUUGAUCUACAUUUGUCUCUCGGUUUUCUAAGUUUUGUUUUAAGAUGUCAUUAAUGAUUUUUUAUUGAUUUAUUAGCGCACGUAAUUCUUAGUUUAUUUGAUUACUUGUGUGCAUCAACUUUUUGAUUUAUUAUAUUUUUUGAAGUAUCAAAAUGCAUUGAAAAAACCUGCAUAAAUAAUGUUUUAUGAAAAAUAAAAAUAUCUAACUUGCAGUGAAGCACAUGACACGUAGCUAGCAAGUUCUAUAAAAUGAGUUAGCAAAGUAGAAAACAAACUUGUAAUAGAUUUGUGCACAUUGCCAUUUCACCAUAAGUUACAUUAGCUCUCAAAACUUUUACAUUAGCUCUCAAAACUUUUACAUUGAAACUUAUAAUACUAGAACUAACAAAACAUACUAGCAGAAAUAUAGUAAGCUUGCAACAAAAUAAGAAUCAAGACAUCAAAUUUCCUUUGUGCCUUUGAAACAUAAAAUGUAAAUUAUUAGGGCACAAUUAAUAAUAACUUAUAGGAAAUAAUUAAUCUACAUCAAAUAUGCUAAAUAACAUAAAUCAACUUUGUCAAACAUAAUUAUUGUGAACAUUGAUUUUUUUUUUAGCCCUGUUUGUUUCAUGAAAAAUGGUUUUUUAGAAAUUAUUUUCCAAACUUUUCUGUGUUUGUUUGUCAUUAGAAAAAUUGAUCAACGAAAAACACUUUACAAUAAAAGAAAAAUUUAGCUUGGUUUCUAGGAAAUUAUUUUCCUUUUAUUUUAGGUGGAAAAUACUUUUUAGAAGUUGUGAAAAUUUAGAAAUGUCUUGUUAUAUGCUGAUUAUAUCAAAUUUGAUCCUCAAACUUUUAAUUGUUAUAUAUUUUGUUUUGAUUUUUUUCUUUCAAUUUCAACCCUUAGAAUUUGAUUUAAUUUGAUUUUUAUAUCAAUCUUGGUCUUUAUUUUUAUAAUUGUUAUUUGCUUUUCUCUUAUCAUUUUUAAUUGAAAUUUUUUUAUCUAUCAAAUCUGGUCCUCAUUCUUUUGAUUGUUAUUUACUUUAUUUGAAAUAAUUUUUAAAAUUGUAAUUUUUUUUAAUUUCAUCCUCUUUCAACUUUUUUAUUUGUUAGAUUUGAUCUCUAUUAUUUUUAUUGUUAUUUAUUUUAUUUGAGAUAUUUUAUGAAAUUAGAUUUUUUUUUAAUUUUAUUAUCAUUCAACUUUUUAAUUUGUAAGAUUUGUUCCUUAUUAUUUUAAUAAACUUGAAAAAAAAUUAACAAUUUAUUUUUCAGUUUAUUUUUUAUGACAUAGUCAAAUACUUAAAAAUAUUUUUUAAUAUAUUUUUUAUGAUAUUAUCAAAUAUCAAAAUAUAAUUUACUUUUUAAAAAUUUAAUUUUCAAGAAAAUUACCUUUUUUAAAAAAUAUAUGUUUUUAGCAAACAAAAGGGUUAAUGUUAAUUUUUUUAUAUAUGACAUGGGGUAGAGUGCAAGCCAGCUAGCCGGAUAGUCUUUGGUGGAUAUUCUUUAGGACUUGGAGGGAAUAAACACAAAAGGUACGAUUUUUUUUAGAUGGAAAUCUGAGCUUUAUUGACCAUAUAUGUCUUGCCAGGUGGCUUCUUGUCUUUCCUUAACUGUCAUGUCUCAUUUGAUAAUUAGGAAUUCCUGGCAGGGCUGCUUUAUUUUAUUGUUAUAUUAGUUUGGUUUUGUGUUUUUUUAAUGAAGUUGGUGGGUCCAGAAACACUCAUUUGGAUUUUAUAUAUAUAUAUAUAUAUAUAUAUAUAUAUAUAUAUAUAUAUAUAUAUAUAUAUAUAUAUAUAUAAUUAACUAUAAACUUGCACAAUUAUUUUACUAUAUAUUAAAACAUUUGAAAAAAACACGGUAGAAAUACUAUAGAUUUACUGUAAACAAAGACACAUUGCCCUGUGGAAGAAACUGUGUCAUAGAGUAUUUGCACUGUGGACAACACUGUUGUACCAUGGGGCAUUCCUUUCCUUUGUUUUUAGUCAAUAAUUACGGGUGGGGGUGUGACCUUCUCUACCAAAAGCCGCUGGGUUUGACUUUGGUAGCCGGACCCAACGCUGUUGUGUUUGGUUGACAAGUUAGACCUAAAACACUUCCAAAACAUGCCAAUAAUGUUGAGUCCUGCAUUCCAGCCAAACCCAACAGAGUAUUUGACUGUGAACACAUAAUGUUCGACUGUGGACGACACUGUAGCGCCUGUGGGGGGGCGUUGUCUUUUCUGUUUGUAAGUCAGAAAGGCUUGCUGGGUCGUUGCAGCAGGACCUAAUAGCUUUGGGUCCUGCUUCCACUAGGACCUAAUGGCGUUGGGUCUUGCUGGAACCAUUAGAGUUGGGUCCUGCCUCAAUAGGACCCAUGACUAUAAUUUUUUCCCUUUUUCAUACGGGUAUGGCUGCGUAGCCAGACCCAGCAGCCAUACCCAAUUAAAUUUCUUGGCCGUUGUCUUCUUUGAUUUAAAUUUAUUUUUCAAAAUAAAUUGAUUGUACUGUGGACAACACUAUAGCAUUUUCCCAGAUCAAUCCUAGCUUUAUCAUCUACACACGCACGCACAUGCACUUUUUUCCUUUUUUGACAAGGAAUUAAAGUUAAUCAAUGCAAGAAAGUAGUAAGAUCACUGACAUCGGCAUAGGAAGAUUGUAAAAAAAAAAUUGAUUUCCUUCGGUGGAUGGAUUGGGAAUCCAUAUUAUCACGUACGUGAGAAUUCAAUCCCCCAUGCCUCUCUAUGCCUAUGUACAUCGUAAAUAUAUACAUUUUCUUCACUAUAGUAUAACACCACCAUUGAAUAUAAUGGAAGACCAUUGAUCAAUAAGGACGACUGGCUUCCAGACCUGGAGCCAUACCUAAUUAAAUUUCUUUGUUGUUGCCUUCUUUGACUUAAAUUUAUUUCUCAAAAUAAAUUGAUGAAUUUUUUUUUAUAUUGUAUAAAAGUUAGGUGAUGAUAAUUUUUUUCCCCAUUUCAGAUUGGGUUGAAUUUCCUAAUUAAAUCAUGUUUGAUUUUGCGUUUCGAAAAUUCUUUGAAAAAAAUUUGACAAUUUUUAAGUUUUUUUCUUUGCUUCAAAUUAAUAUUUUUGUUAUGUUUUUGUAUUUUUUUUAAAAUAUAUAUGUUGAGAUUUUGUCUAGCUGCGACGCCAAACCCAAUAAAUUUUUUUAUUUUUUUUACUUCAAAAUAAUAUUUUCUUCAUGUUUUUGUAUUAUUUUUAAAUAAUUUUUUUUAAAAAAAAUAUUGAGAUUGUAGACGGUUGAGAGGUGAGAAACAAGAAAUUUAAAAAAUUUUAAUUUUUUUCUUUACUUUAAAUUAAUAUUCUUUCGAUAUUUUUGUAUUAUUUUUAAAAAAAUUAUACUGAAAUUAGAUCUGAUUGCGUUGUAUCCUGCCUUCCAGCAUGACCCAAAAAUGUUGGCCCCCUACUUGCAGGAGGACCCAAUGCUUAAUUGGGCCCUACUGCCUCCAUGCCCAACAUCGUUGGGGGCUUUUGCAACCAGGAUCCAAUUACGGUGGGCUCGGCCUCCUAGCAGGACCCAAUAUGCGUUGCCAGCAUGGGUGAUUAGGUCCUUUCCGCUAAGGGAACUUGAUUGUGCAGCAGGCAUCGAAAACACAAGCUCAGUAGCAAUUCAUUUUAGCAACUAAACAGGCUAUAAACAAGCCUAUAAGCCCUUUUUUCUUUGAAAGAGAGAGAUUCAUACUUAUCAAUAUUACAAGGGAAAGAAAAGCUCUGAAACUGAAAAGGGAUAUCCUGAUUUCAUUGCCUACUUGAUUGCUUUCUAAAUAGGAUGUGCAUUUCUCCUAGAACCAGCUGGCUUACGGGCUUACAAGGAACCAAAAAUACUUGGAAGUCACACUUUAAUAGGCACUGAAAUUAGAUUUCUUUGAUUUAAAUUCAUUUUUCCAAAUAAAUUGAUGGGACUUUUAUUAUAUUGACCAAAACUUGAGUGAUGAUUUUUUUUUUCGUUUCAGGUUGGGUUGAAUUUUCUAAUUAAAUUAUGUUUGAUUUUGCGUUUCAAAAAUUCUUUUAAAAAAAUUUGAUAAUUUUUAAUUUUUUUCUUUACUUCAAAUUAAUAUUUUUUUUUAUGUUUUUGUAUUAUUUUUUUUAAAAAAAUAUGUUGAGAUUGUCUCUGACUCGAAGCCCGACCCAAGAAAUUUUAAAAUUUUAAUUUUUUUCUUUACUUCAAAAUAAUAUUUUUUAUAUAUAUUUUUGUAGUAUUUUUAAAAUAUAUUUUCUAAAAAAAUAUAUUGAGAUUGUGUCUGGAUGAGAGGGAAGACCCAAGAAAUUUAAUUUUUUUUCUUUACAUCAAAUUAAUAUUCUUUUGAUACUUUUGUAUUAUGUUUUCAAAUAUUAUUUAAAAAAAUAUGCUAAGAUUAAGUCUAGCUGUGUCACCAGACCCGUGGCAGUAGUGGGCCCUACCUAUAAGCAGGACCCACCGCUACUGGGUCCUUCUCCCAAGCAUGACCCAAUGAUGUUGGGCCAUGCUGCCCAGCAGCGGUGGGCCGUCCUCCAAGACCCAUUAGCUUUGGGUCCUGCAGCCAGCAUGACCCAUCAAAAAGCAUUGGGUCCUGCUGGGGGCAGGACCCAGUAAACCAAUAUUGUAAUGUGUUUUUCCUUUCUCUUAUUUUUUUUCAUAGGGUAAAGAGGAAAUAUUAUUAUUAUAUUAUUGUUAUUGUUAUUAUUAAUAAAUUCAAAGAAAAAAAAAUUAUUACGAUCGAAGAAAAAACAUAAAUUUUAUUUAAAGAGAUUAAAAAAUAUAAAAACUUGGGUUAGACAAGUUUAACAUUAUUAUUAAUAUUACAAAUAUUAUUAUUUGUAUUAUAAAUAUUAUUAUUUUUAUUACAGGUAAUAUUAUUAAUAUAAUAAUUAAUAAAUUUGAAAACAAAUAUCAUUAAUAUUGAAAAAUAACCAUUGAUUUGAUUUGAAAGUUAAAAUUAAAAAUCAUUUUUAUUUUUAUUAAGUUGGGUUUGACAUCCCCUUCUAAACCCGAGAAACUUGGGGCAGGAAAGGGACACAUGAUCGAAGUUGCUUGGGAGAGGCAGGAGCGCGGAUCCAAGUCCCUCGGAUCUUGCAGCCGCGCCUGACCCAACAUACUUGGGUUAGACGUUUGGAGCCAAGCUUGGAUCUGGCUGCAACGCUAGACCCAAGAGCGUUGGGUCUAGCCGAAAGGACGGACCCCAAGCUCAGGGGUCUUCCUUUUUAAACAGACCCAAUGCUCUUGUGAGCAGGACCCACUAAAGUUGGAACAUGCUGCCACCAGAACCUAGCAGCGGUGGCCCUGCUGCCAGCCUCCCCUGCCCAGCACGACCCAACGUUGUUGGGUCCUUCAAUCAAGCAUGACCUAAUGAUGUUAGGCCCAAAUGGGUACCCAGCUGCUAGGUCAUUUUGUCGAGCAUGAUCCAAUGAUGUUGUAACUUUAAUGGGUUCGGAUUGAAGUUAGACUCAAUGCUCUUGGAUCCGACAUUUAUAAGGGGUGCAAAGCUCUUGGGCCCGACAUUUAUAAAGGGUGCAAAGCUCUUGGGCCUGAUGUUGCAGACAGACCCACUUACUCUUUGAUAAGUUUAAUAUUGAUAUGAAUAUUAAAAAUAUUAUUAUUUGUAUUAGGAAUAUUAUUAUUAUUUUUAUUAUAAUUAACAUAGUAAUUAACAAAUUUGAAAAACAAAUUUUAUAUUGAAAAACAACUUACAAAUUUAAUAAAGGGUAAACUUAAAAAUUAUUAUUAUUAUUAUCAUCAUCAUCAUCAUCAUCAUCAUUAUUAUCAUUAAAUGUUUUUAAAAAAUGGAAGAAAAACCAUAAUUGUUUUGUGAAUAGAUUAAAAAAAAAUAAAAACUUGGGUCAGACAAGUUAUAUAUUAUUAUUAAUAUUAUUAUAAAUAUAUAUUUUUAAAAAAAUAUAUUAAGAUUGUGUAUGGCUGAGAGGUGAGACUCAAGAAAUUUUAAAAUUUUUAUUUUUUUCUUUACUUCAAAUUAAUAUUCUUUUCAUAUUUUUGUAUUUUUUCUAAAAAAUUAUACUUAUUAUAUAUUAUAUUAUAUAUGUAUAUAUUUUUAUUUACUAUAUUAAAACGCGUUAUCUUUGUUGUUUGUGAGUAAAAAAUUACAGCUGGGUUGAUGGAUCCUGCUAUCACUAGGAUCCAAUAGCGUGAGGUCCUGUUGCGAGCAGGAUCCCAUUGGCGUGAGGUUCUGUUGCCAGCAGGAUCCCAUGGUGUUGGGUCCUCUAGGCCCCAUUAGUGUUGGGUUGGGUCCUCUAGGCCCCAUUAGUGUUGGGUCCUGCAAGACCCAUCAGCUUUGGGUCCUUCGGCAAGCAAGACCCAUCAAAAAAUAUUGGUCCUGCCACUAGUAGAACCCAAUACUACAAUGUGUUUUUUUUUUCUUCUAUUUUUUUUUCUCAAAGGGUAAAGAGGAAAUAUUAUUAUUAUAUUAUUCUUAUUGUUAUUUUUAUCAUUAAUAAAUUCAAAGGAAAAAAAAUUAUUACUAUUGAAGAAAAACCAUAAAUUUUAUUUGAAGAGAUUAAAAAAUAUAAAAACUUGGGUCAGGCAAGUUUAACAUUAUUAUUAAUAUUCUAAAUAUUAUUAUUUUUAUUAUAAUUAAUAUUAUUAAUAUAAUAAUUAAUAAAUUUGAAAACAAAUAUUAUUAAUAUUGAAAAACAACCAUAGAUUUGAUUUGAAGAGUAAAAUUAAAAAUUAUUAUUAUUAUCAUCAUUAAUAAAUUUGAAAAACAAUAUUAUUACUAUCAAAGAAAAAUAAUAAAUUUUAUUUGAAGGGAUUAAAAACUAUAAAAACUUGGGCCAAAUAAAUUUAAUAUUAUUAUUAACAUUAUAAAUUUUAUUAAAUUCAUUAAUAUAUUAAAUUUGCAAUGAAUUUUAUUACUAUUUUAAAAAACAUAGAUUUGAUUUGAAGGGUAAAAUCAAUUAUUAUUAUUAUUAUCAUCUAUGCCAAGAAGAUGGUUAUAAGUAGGCUUUGGGUGCGGCUCUGCAGCCAGACCUAAAGAUAUUAGGUGAGGCUGCACACCCACACCCAUAUUUAUUAGGUGUUGCUCCGCAGCUACACCCAACUUUACACCCAAUAGAUAAACCUAAUUGGGCUGGGUCCUCCUGCCAACUUUUACACCCAACAGCAGGACCCAAUUGGGUUUGGUCCUGCUGCCAGCAGGAUCCAACAACUAUCAACGUUGGGUCAAGUACCCAGUAGGACCCAAAAGCUUUGGGUCUGGCGCAGCGAGACCCAUCGAUGAUGGGUUCUGCUGCCAAUUGAAUCUAUCAGCGUUGGGUCCUGCUAAUCGGCAGGGCCCAUAAGUUGUGAGCCUUUCUGUUAGGCCCAAUGCUAUUGGAUCUGGCUUGCGCUGGACCCAAGACACUUAAAAGAUUCUCUACAUUUGACAAAAAAAUUGUUAUUGACACGCUGCAGAACGCAGACUAAUAUGCUAGAUAUCAAACUAUAGCGUGUGUACUGGAUUCCUAUGGAAAUUAUUUUUUAUAUAAAAAUAUAAUAAAAUAAUAUUUUUUAUAAAUUAUAAAUUAUUUUUUUAUAUUAAAAUUUAAAAUGAUUAAAAAAUAAAAAAUUGUUUUGAAAAAAACAAUUCAUAUUCUAAAAAACACAGUUUAAAAGCUACUAGAUGCCAUGCCUGCGCGAUGUCGCGGGCUUGUGCAUUGUUGUGGGUUUGUGGAAAAAAUCAUAACAAAAAAAAAAAACCAUAUGGAGAAAAAUUGUUGCAAUCCACAACGUUUUCAAGGAAAAAACUACAAAGCUAAAUCUCAACCAGCUUAAUAUUAAAAAAAUAAAAUCGACAAAGAUAAUUUUUAAAAAAAUCAUAAGAAAAAAAAAACGAAAUGAAAAAAAAUCAUGCAGGGAAACACUAUAGCAAUCUAUAGUGUUCAAUGAGGAAAUCUACUGUUGUAAUUCUCAACCAGCUCAAUAUUAAAAAUAAUAAAAUCGAUAAAGAUUGUCAUAACCCAAUUCUGGGUUAUUCCCCAAAAUUCACUUUUUUUUCAAAAUAAAAAAAUAAAAAUAAAUAAAGGCUGGCAACGUGGAGAAAGCAAGCCGGGAAAUCAAGCUGCAAUUUUUGGAGGAAAUUCAAGGCCUAAUUGUACCCCAUUAUGCCCCAAAAUAUAGAAAAAAUGCAAAUUCAAGGUCAAAUUAAAUGAUUAUUGGAAGAAUUUGCAUAAAAAUUAAGUCCAAUGACAUAAUUAAAUUUUUAAUAGGCCAAUUUGAUUUAAUCAUGGGUCAAAUUAAAUUUUAAUUAUGUUUAAGAAUUAAUUUGGGUCAAAUUAAAGGAUUUAAUUAAGUGCAAGGACUUAAUUAUACUUUAAAUGGGUCAAAUUAAUUUUAUUUGGGGCUUAAUUGGUGAAAAAUUAAGUUUGGGAGCCUAAUUUAGACUUAAUUGAGAAGAUUGGAAUUUUAAGAGAAAAUUUAAUUUUUUCCAAGUUAAUUGAUUGAAAUUAGGGAUCAAAUUGCAAGAAAAUUAAAGUUUUGGGGUCAAUUAGGGGUUAAAUUGAAGAAAUCCGAGAACAGGGACCAAUAUGCAACAGGCGACAAACUAUGAGGAUUCAAUUGACAAAACCCAGGGGUGAAAUUGAAGAAAUUGAAAGUUUAAUGGUCAAUUAGGGGUUAAAUUGACAAAAUCCGAGACCAUGGACCAUAUUGUAAACGGCGCGUAACUUCGGGGUUCCAAUUAAAAUUAAGUAGGGGCUUAAUUGCAUUAAAUCCAAAGUUUAUAGCCAAUUAGGGGUUCAAUUGAAAGAAAUUGAAAGCUUGAGGACUAAAUUGAAAAUCAAUUUAAAUCCCUGGUAUAACCUAAAACGGCGCCGUUUUAUAUUAAAAAAAAAGAGGACCAGACGACGCGUCGUCUGGUCACUGUUCAUUGUCUUCUUCUUUCACAUGAAAAAAACUGCUUUGGAGCCUUACUUACAGGUUCAUUUAUUGCUUGAUUUCUCCAUCAAAUCAAACACAACUUGCACGAAACGGAUCCCCUACAGUUCCUCUACAACCCCAUGUGAACGUUGCAGGAUGAAUGACAACACGGCGUCACCGGGGACGGCGUGAAGAGGUCAAUGCAGGCAGCCUUUUUCCUGCAGAUUUGACAACUCAGGGAGGCUACUUUGAACCAACGGUUGGGAUCCUUCCCAACAUAAUCAAGGGCUGAAAUUUUUUCCCGGUAUAGACAAGAUUGCCCUCUUCCACCGCCUAUAAAUAGAGGCGGAGUUGAUGGCCUGAUGGAGGAGAAAAUCGAGUCCAAAGUUGACAAAAAAACCAGCCUCCUCCCCAGUUUUUUUUUUCUUUUUCUGCAACAAGUCUCUCUCUCUACACUCUCUCUCACCAUGCUCUCAGCGACUCCAAGCCACGCUGCCACCAGUUCGUCUUCCACCCUCUCCACCACACUUAUUCCUCUCCACCGAAAGCACCUUCUUUUUCCUCCACAACGACAGCAGCCCAUCAACACCAUCAUUUUCAUUUUCUUUCUUCUCCAGUAUCGGCAGCAGCAACACCGACUCCACCACAGACGCCGCCACCAGCUUCAGGGCGACUACUCGGACCACCUCCAACCUCACUCCAGGUCGGUGACAUCAACUGCUUCUCCCCCCGCAAGGUUGCCUCCCGCUCCACUCCGCGGGCUGCAACUGCAAAGUUGCAUAUAGAACGUGAACUUACUGUUCACGUUCUGCACAUAAUUCAUUUCACUUGGGUCAGGCCAGUUCUGGCCCAGACCAAAUGUUUGGGUCGGGUCCGGCCCCCAAAAAGGAGAGAAAGAAAGUAUGUUGGGCCGAUAUCGGCCCAAUCUUUUUGGGGCCUAUAUCGGCCCACUGUUUCUGGGUUUAUGUCUGGCCCAGUCAUCUGGGCCGGCCCAGCCCACCUGUUUUAAUAAUAUUUAUUUAAUAAAUAAUAUUAUAUUAUAUAUUUCUUUUAAAAAAAAAAACGAAAAAUUCCAAAAAAAUUUCAAAAAUCCUUUGAAAAAAAUUGUGAUUUUCUCAAAUAUUUUUUUUACCAAUUUUGCAUAAUAUUGGGUUGUAUAUUUACACUGUAAAAUACAAAUCAUGUAUUAAAAUACCUGGUUUUCUUUGAAAUAUUUCAAAAAAAAGAAAAUUAAAACAUUCUCAAAAAGAAAAAAUAUUUUAUUGCAUACGGCCAAAUCCUAAAAUUUUUCCAAGCAUAUUUUUCAUAUAAAAAAACGAAAACAAAAAUUGCAUCUUUUUGAUGUUUAAAAAAUCCAAAAAUGGAUAUCGUAACCAAUUUAUGAUUAUCCACUAGGAUUUGGUCAACAUGUCAAAAACCUUUUUCUAAUUUUUUUAGGGUCCAGAUGUAGACUUUAAUAUUUAUGGGUGUAAAAUUACACGAUAAAAUACACCCUCAAGUAUUAAAGAUACAAGGUGUAAAAAUACGAUGCUAAAAUUCAGACUUUAAAACUGUUAGGAUUUAACCCAAUAAGGUAGAGACUUUCUCAUGAAGAGAGAUUUGCCUUGAGCCUUAGAAAAGACCAACGAAUAGAAACCCAACUUGGAAAAAAACAAUCAAACAAUAAUGCAGCUUACCUUAAGUAGGGUGCAUUAGGGGUGAUGCAUCUUCCCCUUGCACAACCAGUCCCUUACUCAGACUCUCGCAGACCAUAGGUUCCUAGUGACCAUAAUACUAGGUGGUGACUCCUGAAUCUUAAUCAUAAUUUUAUGAUUAAAUCCAAAAAAAUCUUCCUAACACACAACACACCUCACAUAGGAGGCACGACAGAAAGCCUUCUUUGUCGCCAGACGACAUCGCACCGGCUCUUGCGCAUCCUGCGACAAAGAUAAUUUAAAAAAAAAACCAUAAUAAAAAAAUUAUGUGGGAAAAGACUGUAACAAUCCACAGUUAAAAAAAAAAAAAACUAAAUUUCUAACCAGCUUAAUAUAUAUAUAAAAAAAAAAAAAGUCUUCGGUGGCGAUUGAUAGCUAUGCGAUGAACUACUCAAAAUGCUAGAACAAUUGCAAAUCCCAGUUGCUAUGUAAUGGAACUUCCAGGCUAAGGCUCCUUUAAAUUACCUGCACGCCCGGCCUAGGAAAUUAUUAUUCUAAUUAUUCAACGACGACUUCAAGACUUGGCUGGCGUCGGGUGAUGACGAAGACAUUAUGACGUAGGUCUGCUGAAGUGGACCAAGUGUUCCAUGACAAUGCUGACUUCAGUUAUUUUUUAAUAUAUUUUUUUAAAAAUACAUCAAAAUAAUAUUUAUUAUUUUUUAAAAUUAAUUUUUGAUUUUAGUACAUUAAAAUAAUUUAAAAAUAUCAAAAAAAUAUAAAAUUUUUAAAAAACAUGAUUUAAUUGGAAAAAAAAAACAAAACCUCCUAGGGCUGUUUUAUUAUUAUCCUCGUUCCUCGAACUGUCUAAAUUAACAAGGAUACCCGCACUGCCUAAUUUCCCGGUCGUCAACGGUGGCGCCUCAUUCGAUAAUGGGGUAUCCUUUGGUAGGGCUGUUUUGUUUUAUUGUUAACUUUGUUUAGAAUUUUUCUUAUCAACCUGGUGGGGCCGGCCAUUGAGAAGUGGGUCUAGAAAAUUUGAUGCUGUCGAGAAAGGCCGUAGAUUCUAAACUUCGAUCUUAUCCAUGGAAUUAUAAAAAACAAUUAUUAAUUCAUGCACAUCAAAAAAGAUUCUAUAAGAUAAUAAUAAAGGCGAGGAGGUUGGCACAUACACGCGCGAGACCACGAAGCAACGUUGUUGGCUUUUGCUACCAGAAAAUGGAAAUCCAGUUAUACUUUACAGAUCAACUAAUGAUUUCACGAGAAUUAAGAAGGAAAGCAUUAAAUUUAUGGAAAUCUUUUCUUGGCAUGUGAGGGGAACGAGUCAGCAGUCUGGGUACAGUUGUUGGCUUUUGCUAACUUCUCCUGGCUAGCCAUUAAUCCUAUCCGUCUUUGGCCUCUCGUGAACAUGCGUUCUUUUUUAAAAAUAUUUUUUAUUUAAAAAUUAUUUUGGAUAUUAAUUUAUCAAAAUAAUCUGAAAAUAUUAAAAAAAAUUAAUUUUAAAAAAAUUAAAAUUAAAAUUUUAUUAAAAAUACUUUUAAAAUACAAAAACAAACACUAUAUAUAUAUAUAUAUAUAUAUAUAUAUAUAUAUAUAUAUAUAUAUAUAUAUAUAUAUAUGUUCUUCCACCAAAACAGGAUCCACCCUCUAGAACCCUUCAAAUAACUGCCAUGAACCCAAUUUCCACUUGCUCGAUUUCAUUUAUCAAGGACAUAUCAGUUACGAAAGAAAUGACAUUUCUAUUGGAUGGAUUUGUCUUGCUUAGCUCUGAGUUUAGAGUAAUGCUGCUUUCUUGAUUCUGAAAUCCGUCUCAACAGGUAAUGUGAGAAGGCAAAGAGGGGGGAAGAAGACUAUCCAGUUGCUUGGAUUGGACACUCUUGUUCCUUUUACGGUGGAGAUAGAAAGGUUUCAUAGUAUAAUGUUGCUUAAGUCACAAUCAGCCCUCUUUUUUUUUUAAUCUGCAAAACAAUUACAGGAAUAUUUGCACCAGAGGUGAAGCUGCUGCUGCUUCAUCCAGCCAGAAAGAAACAAAGAGAGUGGCACAAUGGAACCAUGCAUGCCACCUCUUCCCAAUUUUUUGACAGGACUGAUAAGCAUUUUCCUCUACGAAUGACGAAAACCUCAUAACAAGUGAUGGAGAUUUGAGAACAACAAGCAACCAUGGAUUCCCAAGUUUCAAAUGGGUCACAGGAUUCACAUAAACUUAGCCAAUCCGGUUAUUUAUUUUUGGUAUCGAAAUACAGGACAUGAAAAUCCUUCAGCAACACACCUCUUAAUUACAUAUCAAUAACAGGAAAGACAUCCACAUCUUCACACACAUGCAACAAACACCUUACAUCGCACGCUUCUUAUAGCAGAAAGCCCAUAAAACCAGAUACAAAGAGCGCUUGCCCGCUUAAGCUCUGCGGCACACAUCUCCAUCGCAGUUCCAUCCUUCCUUUCCCUUUGCCUUCUCCUCAAGCUCCUCCUCCAUUUGCUUUAGAUGUUCCUCGGUAAAUGGAAAAGCAUCUGCCCCGUAAGCUGUCAAGUGCAUCCGAGCUUCCUUGGUAAUGGUCCGGCCACUUGGGCCAAUCGCUACAGCUGCAGGAAUGCCUUGAAUUUUGAAUUUCCGACUCAGGAUUUGUUUCCUUUCAUCACCAAAUGGAAGGGCUAACCAAGGCAUUUCUGAAUAGAACUCGUCAAAGGUGGAUUGAUCUCUGUCGCUUGAGAUGAAGAUCACCUCAAAUGCGUUGUCUUUUCUUUUAAUUGUGUGGUAUGCUUCAAUUAGCUUGGGUAAAAAGGCACGACAAGGAGGGCACCAUUGAGCUGAGAAGUAAAGAAGAAUGUUCUUUCCAACUAGAUCGGACACU
rnacentral:lncRNA from 1 species